GACGAACGCUGGCGGCGUGCUUAACACAUGCAAGUCGAACGGAAAGGCCCUGCUUUUGUGGGGUGCACGAGUGGCGAACGCGCGAGUAACACGUGAGUAACCUGCCCUUGACUUUGGGAUAACUUCAGGAAACUGGGGCUAAUACCGGAUAGGAGCUCCUGCUGCAUGGUGGGGGUUGGAAAGUUUAGGCGGUUGGGGAUGAACUCGAGGCUUAUCCGCUUGUGGGUCGGGUAGAGGCUUACCAAGGCAUUGACGGAUAGGCGGACUGAGAGCGUGCCCAGCCGCAUCGGUACUAGGUUUAGGCACAGACUCGUACGGGAGACAGCCGCCGGGAAUAGUACACAACGGGAGGAAGCCUGAUGCAGAAGCGCCGCGUGUGGGUUGACGUGCUUCUGGUUCAAAACCCCAUUCACCUGGGAUGAAGCGAGAGUGACGGUAAUUAGUAGAGAAGCACCUGCUAACUACGUG
rnacentral:rRNA from 1 species